rnacentral:rRNA from 1 species
UACGUAGGGGGCAAGCGUUGUCCGGAAUUAUUGGGCGUAAAGAGCGUGUAGGCGGUUUGGUAAGUUGGAUGUGAAAUCUCCAGGCUCAACUUGGAGGGGUCAUUCGAUACUGCCAUGACUAGAGUUCGGAAGAGGCGAGUGGAAUUCCCGGUGUAGCGGUGAAAUGCGCAGAUAUCGGGAGGAACACCAAUGGCGAAGGCGGGUCUCUGGGCCGAUACUGACGCUGAGGAGCGAAAGCGUGGGGAGCGAACAGG